UAGGGAAUAUUAGAAAUGGACGAAAGUCUGAUCUAGCAACACCGCGUGUGCGAAGAAGGCCUUCGGGUUGUAAAGCACUUUUUGGAAGGAUUAGGAAGGAAUGUACUUCCAGAAUAAGUCUCGGCUAACUACGUGCCAGCAGCCGCGGUAACACGUAGGAGGCAAACGUUAUCCGGAUUUACUGGGCGUAAAGCGCGUGUAGGUGGUUCUGUAAGUAGGGCGUGAAAGCUCCUGGCUCAACUGGGAGAGGCCGUUCUAAACUGCAGAGCUGGAGGAUGGUAGAGGGAGGUGGAAUUCAGAGUGUAGCGGUGGAAUGCGCAGAUAUCCGUAGGAACACCAGUGGCGAAAGCGUCCUCCUGGACCGUUCCUGACACUCAGUCGCGAGAGCUAGGGUAGCAAACG
rnacentral:rRNA from 1 species